UACGUAGGCAGCAAGCGUUGUUCGGAGUUACUGGGCGUAAAGAGUAUGUAGGCGGUUGCGUAAGUUCGGUGUGAAAUCUCCCGGCUUAACUGGGAGGGUGCGCCGAAAACUGCGUGGCUUGAGUGCGGGAGAGGAGAGCGGAAUUCCUGGUGUAGCGGUGAAAUGCGUAGAUAUCAGGAGGAACACCGGUGGCGAAGGCGGGUAGCUGGGCCGACACUGACGCUGAGGAGCGAAAGCGUGGGGAGCGAACAGG
rnacentral:rRNA from 1 species